GUGUGUGUGUGUGUGUGUGUGUGUGUGUGUACACGUCAAAUACUACUUGACUUUCAGUAUGUAUUUUGUGCAGCAGCAUACUGUAGCGCACUACUGAACAGAAGCCCAGUCACAUAUGCAGUCUUUUAGCGGUUUGUGAUAUGGAUGUUACAAUGUUUUGAAAACGGCAAAACAGCGGCUCUUCUUCCCCCCACACCAAGUUCACAACAUGGACUCCAGGAUGUGUUUAGUCUUAGGCUGAGGUGGUUUUGACAGCCAUGUCAGUAUUUAUGUGCACAAGGGCUCGGCAAUAAUAUUGUAGCGUUUUGUCAUUUUACUAAUUUGUGUUGUCCAAAUGAAGGAUUUCAAGCAAAUUGUAUUUAAAACCUUCCAAAAUUAGUUCUGUUCAAGACAUGUAAAGGGAUUGAUUUCAUGUAAUGCAUAACAGAAGAACACAGUUCAUUGCAUUUAACAUUUUGACUAUUAUAUUUUAAUAGUUUUACCCGUGAUUUUUGCUUAUAAUAUUGCCCUAAGAGCAUUCGUUCGUUUGGGAAGAAGUGUGCAGAUACCCUGUUAAUGUGCUGUAACUUUUGUUGAUCAAAGUUAUUUUUGCUGUAUAUACUUUGUAUAGUUUGGCAGUGAAAAACAAAGCAAAUAAGAUCAUUUGCAUUCAGCAAAAUUAUUCAAAACAAGUCUUCCACAACGUCUGACACACUCCUAUUAUAGUCCUUCCUUCCAGGUUACCACAGGCUACAGUAAAUACCAAACACAUUCAAGUUAUUUACUGCAUUUGUAGAAAUUGCAC